GAUGAACGCUAGCGGCAGGCUUAACACAUGCAAGUCGAGGGGCAACACGGGUAGCAAUACCUGGUGGCGACCGGCGCAAGGGUGCGUAACGCGUGAGCAACAUGCCCUAUACAGGGGGAUAAUCCAGGGAAACUUGGUCUAAUAUCCCAUAGUAUUUAGAGGUGGCAUCACCACUAAAUUAAAGCUUCGGUGGUAUAGGAUUGGCUCGCGUGACAUUAGCUUGAUGGUGGGGUAACGGCUCACCAUGGCGAUGAUGUCUAGGGGUUCUGAGAGGAAGACCCCCCACACUGGGACUGAGACACGGCCCAGACUCCUACGGGAGGCAGCAGUGAGGAAUAUUGGUCAAUGGACGCAAGUCUGAACCAGCCAUGCCGCGUGCAGGAUGACGGCCCUAUGGGUUGUAAACUGCUUUUCCACGGGAAGAACCCUCCGACGUGUCGGAGACUGACGGUACCGUGGGAAUAAGCAUCGGCUAACUCCGUGCCAGCCAGCCGC
rnacentral:rRNA from 1 species